rnacentral:lncRNA from 1 species
CUUCCUGAGGCAGCCUGAGGCCAGGGCCCACUGGUUAAGAGCCCUGCUCCCCAAAACUCCCGCAGGGCCCACGCGGGAUCUGGCAUCACAGGCUCCCAGGACCAGUCCUUGAGUUCUGCCUCCCGGCACAAUCCUCCUGGGCCAGCUCUUCUAUGCCUGUCUUUGGCAGCACCUUUUCCAUCCUUGCCAACCGAAUCUGCCCCAUGGCCUCACCCCACACGUGUCCUUUCCAGCACCCAACCCGUCUGGAGAGAAGCAAGAAUAUGACUUUAAUUUAACAUCAACAAUGACACUGUGUAACAGCACAGGGAAGAGGUAGUGGAGGGAGAUGGUCAGGCUUCCUGUUCCUUAACCAGCUUUGAUUUUAACAGCAGAGCCCCAGCAACCUAGAAGCGCCUCACCUAGCCUCUUAAUGGAGUGGGAAGGAGCAGGGAAUUGGAAAUCAGAGGCUCAAAAAGUAAAGAAGGCUGAUGGCAAGCCUGGGGAGAGGCCUGGAAACGAGGGAAGGGCUGAGGGCUAUGAGGAGUCCCCUAGCGCAGGUCUUCGGCAGUGAACAUGCCCCUGGCCCUGCGCAGGAUGGAGUCCUUGGCGGCGUCAUAUGGGUGCUCCUUGGAGGGGAUCUCCAGGACAGCGGGGAUGGACUGCUGGUGGGCGUCCAGGGCAUGCCGCACCAUCUCUGCGAUGUACUGGUUGAUGAGGAUGAUGCCAAUGUCAUCCCGGUUUAGAAAUUGCCUGUGGGGAG